rnacentral:lncRNA from 1 species
CAGUUAACUGGAGAGGGUGCUGGAUGUUGCUUCACUUCAGCUGGUCCAAUUUGAUUGAUCUCUUUAGGCUUGGGCUCACCUGCAGCUACAAUUUGGCUACCAUUCUCUUCCACCUGCACACUUUGUUGUUCACCUUGGUUCCCAUCUACCACUUGCUUCUCAUUGACGUCUUCAGUAGAUUCUGCUGCAGAUCCAUUGAGUUUCUCUUUCUCACCUCCCAUGUGCCAGAAACAACUUCAGGGGGUUUCGGCUCCCCCACAUUAACUGGACCAUUUGUUUUCUCUGCUUCUACUUGAGGAUCCUCAACAUUUUCAACCUGUUUCUUAUCCUUGGUCUGUUCAGCAGCAGUGGCAC